AUGAACCUAUUUGGAAGGAAAUCUUCGAGGAGACGAUCCUCGGGGGCAUCUUCUAGUGACAGUUCUGCUCGCCAGUCCUAUCUGGAACCAAGUGAAAGUUCCACGCGUGAUGCUGCCACCAAAACAUGCUUAUGGCCUUGCGAUGAAUAUAUGGUGCGUGUGGGCAUUAAGGAGGAAUUUGAGCAAUAUGUUCACAAUGCUGGCCUCGGUCCUUACCUUUCAAAUAAGUGUGACCAACGCCAACUCCUCACUGAGACAUUUGUCAAAAGAUUUACAUUUUUCCCUCGUGAGCCUAGGGUGUCUUUUAUGCUUUAUGAUAAUCCAUUUACCAUCUCACUGGAGAAGUUUGCUUACCAUUGCAAACUGCCAUAUUGGGGUUCGCUUGAUGGACCACCGAGGGCUGAGUACGAGUCCUUCUUGACUAGCCUUUGUUACGGUGAAAAUAGGGGAGUGACACAAGGCAGAAUAAAGAGCAUCCACUUUCCCGCAAUUUGGUACUUUGCAUUAUUUAACGGGAAAUGCAUAGUAGGCAAGCAAGACUGUAGCACACUGUGUGCGCCAGACUUGAGCCUCAUCCACACCGCUCUCACUGGUGAAUGGAACUAUAAUAUUGGAGCGAUUGUUGCACGUAGACUUCAGAAUAAUGCUAAUGGUGGCUGGUGCUAUGGGGGAAUUUAUGCCACACGUUUGGCACGAGAGUUGGGCAUUUCACAUUUACCCUUUGACCCUAUCCUACCCACGCAGUAUUUAGACUUUGACACCUUAAAAGAUCAUAAGAUCCUCAAAGGAAAAAAUCAUGACUUCAAUUAUAAUUUGUUGUUUGACCAAACCUUUUUUGUGCAUACAUAUUUGCCCGCACCUACUCUUUUUGACUAUCACAACAAGGGGAGAUAUUUUGUUCUUGAGAGCGAGGCACGAGCUCAUAACGCAGUAGUGGUGGCAGCACAGCGUGCCGAGGCAUCCGCACCUAGAGCCUCUGUGAGCUUCCACGCAGACUUCUACCCUCUAGGCUACUGA
rnacentral:rRNA from 1 species